rnacentral:tRNA from 1 species
GCAUCGGUGGUUCAGUGGUAGAAUGCUCGCCUGCCACGCGGGCAGCGCGGGUUCAAUUCCCGGCCGAUGUA